UCUCAGUCAUGAGAAGCCAAAGAGAGAAGAUUGAAAAAGACUUUCUCCUGAGAGUUACCACUUUUUCCUGCUUGUGGCUGGAAAUCCUUCCCCCCAACAUUUCCCAAUUGAAAAGACUAUUGAAGAGGAAACCUGAGAAAGACAUUUGGAGUCUCUGUUUGACUUUAAUUCAGCUCCUAUUGCCCUGAGCCUGAACUGUGGCCAAGGGGCCAAACCCAGGUGGGUGAAUGAAAUGAAGAAUGAAGGAAUGAAGAAUGAAGGAAGAAACUUUGCUUUAAUGCUUUGAAGAAUUAGGGCCUGGAAGAUGAACUACUUUCAAUCCUCAUUCUUCCCUUGAUCAUGCUACAAGGUAAAGAAGGAGUUAGCAUGGUGAGUACUGAACAGUAGACAGUUCUAAUCCCAACCCUGCUACUUGCUACCUGUGUGAUCUCUGAGUUUCUUCAUUUGCAGAAUGAGGUUUUUGGAUGAGAUAGUCUCUGAGGUUCCUCUGAACUGGAAAGUGAUGACCCUAUGGCAUUUCUUACCUGUGCUUCCUAGGAGGUUUUCCAAACUUUUCAGGCCUUAACAGCCCGAGUCCAAUGAUUUAAUUCAAGAGAAAAGGGAAUCAACAGUAAUGACUAAAUGACUGAAGAUGAGACCCUCCUCCAUCUCAGUUACCAGUUGCUAUUGCCCAAUGAGAGGGAGUAAAGUUGAUGAAUUCGUCUCCUUCUUAGGAUGAAGGCAGGCAUGCAAAUGUGGAUUAAAAAAGACAUGGAAAAAAUGAAUAGAAACAUUAAGGAAGCCAACCUCUGAGAAGUUUGCAAACAGAUGGGCAAAGAAAACAAAUUACUCACUGAAAAUUUGGAGUGCGAUGUCUU